rnacentral:rRNA from 1 species
GACGAACGCUGGCGGCGUGCCUAAUACAUGCAAGUAGAACGCUGAAGGAGGAGCUUGCUUCUCUGGAUGAGUUGCGAACGGGUGAGUAACGCGUAGGUAACCUGCCUGGUAGCGGGGGAUAACUAUUGGAAACGAUAGCUAAUACCGCAUAAGAGUAGAUGUUGCAUGACAUUUGCUUAAAAGGUGCAAUUGCAUCACUACCAUAUGGACCUGCGUUGUAUUAGCUAGUUGGUGGGGUAACGGCUCACCAAGGCGACGAUACAUAGCCGACCGGGAAGGGUGAUCGGCCAAGCUGGUACUGAGACACGGCCCAGACUCCUACGGGAGGCAGCAGUAGGGAAUCUUCGGCAAUGGACGGAAGUCUGACCGAGCAACGCCGCGUGAGUGAAGAAGGUUUUCGGAUCGUAAAGCUCUGUUGUAAGAGAAGAACGAGUGUGAGAGUGGAAAGUUCACACUGUGACGGUAUCUUACCAGAAAGGGACGGCUAACUACGUG